rnacentral:rRNA from 1 species
UACAGAGGUGGCAAGCGUUGUUCGGAAUUACUGGGCGUAAAGGGCGCGUAGGCGGCCUUCUAAGUCAGACGUGAAAUCCCCCGGCUUAACCUGGGAACUGCGUCUGAUACUGGGAGGCUUGAGUAUGGGAGAGGGAUGUAGAAUUCCAGGUGUAGCGGUGAAAUGCGUAGAUAUCUGGAGGAAUACCGGUGGCGAAGGCGGCAUCCUGGACCAUUACUGACGCUGAGGCGCGAAAGCUAGGUGAGCAAACGGG